AUUGAACGCUGGCGGAAUGCUUUACACAUGCAAGUCGAACGGCAGCACGGGGCAACCUGGUGGCGAGUGGCGAACGGGUGAGUAAUACAUCGGAACGUGCCCAAUCGUGGGGGAUAACGUAGCGAAAGUUACGCUAAUACCGCAUACGAUCUACGGAUGAAAGCGGGGGAUCGCAAGACCUCGCGCGAAUGGAGCGGCCGAUGUCAGAUUAGGUAGUUGGUGGGGUAAAGGCUCACCAAGCCGACGAUCUGUAGCUGGUCUGAGAGGACGACCAGCCACACUGGGACUGAGACACGGCCCAGACUCCUACGGGAGGCAGCAGUGGGGAAUUUUGGACAAUGGGCGCAAGCCUGAUCCAGCCAUUCCGCGUGCAGGAUGAAGGCCUUCGGGUUGUAAACUGCUUUGUACGGAACGAAAGGCUCUGGUUAAUACCCGGGGCUCAUGACGGUACCGUAAGAAUAAGCACCGGCUAACUACGU
rnacentral:rRNA from 1 species